rnacentral:tRNA from 1 species
GAGUCCAUAGCUCAGUCGGUAGAGCAUUUCACUUUUAAUGAAAGGGUCGAUGGUUCGAAUCCAUCUGGACUCACCA